AUCUAAGGCCAUACCACCCUGAACGUGCCUGAUCUUUUCUGAUCUUGGAAGCUAAGCAGGGUCAGGCCUGGUUAGUACUUGGAUGGGAAACUGCCUGGGAAUAUCAGGUGCUGUAGACU
rnacentral:rRNA from 1 species